rnacentral:tRNA from 1 species
GCGGCGGUAGUCUAGCCUGGUCUAGGAUAGAGGCCUGCCAAGCCUCAGACCCGGGUUCAAAUCCCGGCCGCCGCACCA